rnacentral:lncRNA from 1 species
GGAGCCGGAGCCAUCCGCCGGGCGACGAGCGGGCGGCGGCGCACAGGAAGGUGCCUCAGCGCGGCCGGACGAGCCCAGCUGAAGGUUCUUGAAGUCAUGAGGAAAGAAACCUGGGAGCAGUUGAAAGAAACCUACGCUGCUGGUGACUUACAGGUUCCACAUCAGUUUGAAGUGGGAGACACGAUCCUGGUGAGGAGGCACCGAGUGGGGAACCUCAAGCCUCGGUGGAAAGGACCCUACCUGGUACUAUUGACUACACCCACUGCACUUAAAGUAGAAGGAGUCCCCUCUUGGGUUCAUGCCUCACACGUCAAGAGGGCUCCCCCUGAGACUGAUCGUGAUGAGUGAACUCUGGAAAAGACUAAUAACCCUCUUAAGUUGCACUUGCAUUACAAGAGCGACUCAGAACAGAGACUUCAACCCUCAUACUCCAAUUCAACAAACUUGGGAAGUGCUUAAUGUGGAGGGGGACAUUGUAUGGUCGACCACUGCAGUUCAACCCCUGUGGACCUGGUGGCCUGACCUCACACCUGAUAUUUGUAAGUUAGUAGCAGAGUCACUUACCUGGGACCUCCCUGACCAUACCAACCUUCAUAAACCACCACCUGAUAAACAGUGUGUCCCAAGCGGGAUAGGGAGCACGUUUGGAUGCUCGGGACAGUUCUACCUAGAGCCAAUCUUCGGUCUGCAGAAUUUUAUGUUUGCCCUGGCCAAAGCCAACCACGAAAGCUUCGGCAUCAGUGUAGAGGGGCACCGGACUUUUACUGUGCUGAGAUAGUUCUGAAUACCUUGAAAGCCGGUGUGCCUGGUUCAACAGCCCUAAUGGACCUUGUAAAGAUAAUUGUUGCAACCCCAUACGUAUAAAGUUUACUGACCAGGGGAAACGAGAACGACAGAGCUGGCUUAAGGGAAACAAUUGAGGUUUGCGAUUGGACGCAGUAGGGAAAGACUCUGGAUUAGUUUUCAAAAUCAAAUUGACUGUAGAGAGUAUCCAUCCCCAGUGCCCAUAGAACCUAAUAAGGUCCUUCCGGAACAGGGCCUCCCUGCCAAACCCAAACCCCCGGCUCUGAUAGUUGAGAACCCCCUCAAGGUUGUAACCCCCCAAGACCCCCCCGACCACAAUCCCCUCAGAUCCCUUCACAGGACAGAGACUGUUCAACCUGAUUAGAGGAGCCUUUUAUGCCCUUAACAGCAAGGAUCCAGAUGCUACUACUGACUGCUGGCUAUGCCUAUCCUCAGGCCCUCCCUACUAUGAAGGGAUUGCCUUUAAUGGGGAUUUUAAUAAAACCAGUAGUCAUGCCUCCUGCUCGUGGGGAACAGGAAAGAAAUUAACCCUGACUGAAGUGUCAGGGAGGAGCCCUGGUCUCUGCAUAGGGAUACCUCCCCCUUCCCACCAACACUAUGUGGUCGGACUCAUCCUGUGUCCAAGACAAAUACCAACUAUUACCUUGUGCCAUAUCCAGUCAGUUGGUGGUCCUGUAACACAGAGCCACCCCAUGCGUAUCAACUAGUGUUUUUGACCCCUCUCGUAAUUUCUGUGUUACAAUUAAGCUCCUACCUCACAUGUAUUAUUAUCCUGCUUCCCGCCUAGAAGAUGAGUAUACCAAUAAGAGAUUGAAAAGAGAACCAGUCUCCCUUACCCUAGCUAUGUUGAUGGGGGUCGGUCUUACGGUAGGAGUAGGAAUGGGCGUAACAGCCUUGAUUGAGGGUAGACAAGGAAUCCAAUCUUUAAGAGAAGCUAUAAAUGAAGAUUUAAGCAUGCUAGAAAAAUCUAUCGAUGCAUUAGAGAAAUCCUUGACCUCCCUAUCGGAAGUAGUAUUACAAAACAGAAGAGGUUUAGAUUUAUUGUUUUUAAAAGAAGGUGGACUAUGUGCAACCUUAAAAGAAGAAUGCUGCUUCUACACAGACCACACGGGAAUAUCAGAGAUUCUAUGCAGAAAUUGAGGGAAAGACUGGAAAGGAGAAAGCGAGAUCGAGAAGCUCAACAGGGAUGGUUCGAGUCGUGGUACUCUUAAAUCUCCACAAAUAACCACUUUACUUUCCGCUUUAGCCGGACCAAUUCUUACUAUAUGUUUGGGUUUUGAUCUUUGGACCCUGCUUAAUAAAUAAGGGAAUUGCUUUUGUUAAGAGUAGAGUGAAUGCAGUGCAGCUUAUGGUUCUCCAACACCAAUAUCAACCUAUAGUGAAGAUAGAAGAAGAAUAUGAUUUCUACCCCCACAUGAGGAUACAGACCUUUGAAAUUCUAAGAUUAGAAUUAUUUAGUAAAAGAAGAAGGGAAUGAAAGAAAGAAAAUUAAAUUCAAGGCCCAUGAUUCAUACGGCUCAUGAUGACUAGUCAGAAGGUUUACAGACCUAAGGCAGAGAGCAUAGCAGAACAGGCCCGGGCAUGACCAGACAGGCCAGCACAAAGGCUGUUAAGUCAUUCCAGGAACUGACUGGCCAUAAACAUAAGAGAGGCAUGCAAGGACAAUCUCCAGACAAGCCCAGUUAAGUAAUGGGCCACCUGGUCUGGUCUCCUUCUGAUAUAGUUUGAGUUUAACCAGAUGCUCUGCCCAUAAAGAUAAGCACCCUCCCUUUAGAGUUGCUGUUAUCCCGACCCGCAUGUACUGCUUGCUGGUGUUUAAACUGUCCAAUUGUGUGUAACCGCGCCAAUUUCCCCUAUCCCCCGACUUUUUUUCUAUAUAAACCCCUAAUUUUUGAGCCUCGGGGUCAAUUCCUCUGUCUCUUGUGUGAGACACAUGUCGGCCUGGAGCUCCGUCAUUAAACUACCUCAUGUGUUUGCAUCAAGACGGUCUUUCAUGUUUCCUUGGGUGCGCGCCAUCCAGAGACUUGAGUGGGGUCUCCCCACUGGCGUCUUUCAAUUUCUCUAUUGUUGG